UACGGAGGGUGCGAGCGUUGUUCGGAAUCACUGGGCGUAAAGGGCGUGUAGGCGGUCCGCUAAGUCUGAUGUGAAAGCCCGGGGCUCACCCCCGGAAGGGCAUUGGAAACUGGCGGACUCGAGUCCCGGAGAGGAGGGUGGAAUUCCCGGUGUAGCGGUGAAAUGCGUAGAUAUCAGGAGGAACACCUGCGGUGUAGACGGCUUACUGGACCAUAACUGACGCUGAGGCACGAAAGCGUGGGUAGCAAACAGG
rnacentral:rRNA from 1 species